rnacentral:rRNA from 1 species
UACGGAGGGGGCAAGCGUUAUUCGGAAUUAUUGGGCGUAAAGGGCGCGUAGGCGGCUAGAUGUGUCAAAGGUGAAAUCCCUCGGCUCAACUGAGGAACUGCCUUUGAAACUGUCUGGCUUGGGGCCGGGAGAGGGUAGCGGAAUUCCCAGUGUAGCGGUGAAAUGCGUAGAUAUUGGGAGGAACACCAGUGGCGAAGGCGGCUACCUGGACCGGUUCUGACGCUGAGGCGCGAAAGCGUGGGUAGCAAACAGG